UGGGGAAUAUUGCACAAUGGGCGCAAGCCUGAUGCAGCCAUGCCGCGUGUGUGAAGAAGGCCUUCGGGUUGUAAAGCACUUUCAGCGAGGAGGAAGGUGGUGAACUUAAUACGUUCAUCAAUUGACGUUACUCGCAGAAGAAGCACCGGCUAACUCCGUGCCAGCAGCCGCGGUAAUACGGAGGGUGCAAGCGUUAAUCGGAAUUACUGGGCGUAAAGCGCACGCAGGCGGUUUGUUAAGUCAGAUGUGAAAUCCCCGGGCUCAACCUGGGAACUGCAUUUGAAACUGGCAAGCUAGAGUCUCGUAGAGGGGGGUAGAAUUCCAGGUGUAGCGGUGAAAUGCGUAGAGAUCUGGAGGAAUACCGGUGGCGAAGGCGGCCCCCUGGACGAAGACUGACGCUCAGGUGCGAAAGCGUGGGGAGCAAACAGAUUAGAUACCCUGGUAGUCACGCCUGUAAACGAUGUCGAUUUGGAGGUUGUGCCCUUGAGGCGUGGCUUCCGGAGCUAACGCGUUAAAUCGACCGCCUGGGGAGUACGGCCGCAAGGUUAAAACCGUCC
rnacentral:rRNA from 1 species